rnacentral:rRNA from 1 species
GACGAACGCUGGCGGCGUGCUUAACACAUGCAAGUCGUACGGUAAGGCCCUUUCGGGGGUACACGAGUGGCGAACGGGUGAGUAACACGUGAGUAACCUGCCCACAACUUUGGGAUAACGCUAGGAAACUGGUGCUAAUACUGGAUAUGUGCUCCUGCUGCAUGGUGGGGGUUGGAAAGCUCCGGCGGUUGUGGAUGGACUCGCGGCCUAUCAGCUUGUUGGUGGGGUAGUGGCCUACCAAGGCGGCGACGGGUAGCCGGCCUGAGAGGGUGACCGGCCACAUUGGGACUGAGAUACGGCCCAGACUCCUACGGGAGGCAGCAGUGGGGAAUAUUGCACAAUGGGCGCAAGCCUGAUGCAGCAACGCCGCGUGCGGGAUGACGGCCUUCGGGUUGUAAACCGCUUUCAGCAGGGACGAAGCUUUUUGUGACGGUACCUGCAGAAGAAGCACCGGCUAACUACGU